UGUGCAUUGAUUAAACCUGAGAACUUCUUUUUUCUCCCUUCUCCCUUUGCCCAAAUGCCCACAAAUGUGCAUAGCUCACCAGCCCUCCAAGUCUUAAAUAUGUAGUUCCAAAUUCUGAAUUUAUGUCCUGGGAUUUGAGAGAAGCACAGAACUUUUAUCUGAGAAAUACAAGUUAUUUUAAUGAUCAGACCCAGUGAUGUGUUAAAAUGAGACCACAGUCAUGUACUGUUCCCCUCUUUGAACUAUUUGUCUUUUGUAAUUGUGUGCUAUUGCCACAA
rnacentral:lncRNA from 1 species